rnacentral:rRNA from 1 species
UUACAUUCACUAGGUAGUAAACUAAAUUAAAACCUUGUAAACAUGGCGGUCUUAUAACAUUAAAGAAACUCGCUUUAUAAUCGUCAAUCCUCGCUAAAUUUUACUUAAUUUCAAAGUCUAUAUACCGCCGUUAAAGACCACACUCACCAAUGACGCACUUUUUCUAUAAAUACUAAAAAUCAGGUCAAGAGUGUAGCCUACAACUAAGAAAAAGUAAGUUACAUUAAAAACAAUUUAAGAGAUGUCCCUCCCUCAAGUGAGAGCUGAAAAAGAAUUUAUUUGUACAUUAAGAUUAAAAAUCUAGAUAGAACAAUUCAAUUAAAGACGCACACAUCGC